CAGACCGCAAUAACCUCGGGAAACUGAGGCCAAUAGCGGAUAUCACUCUCAGACUGGAGUGUCGAGAGUGAGAAACGUUCCGGCGCUGUAGGAUGUGGCUGCGGCCGAUUAGGUAGAUGGUGGGGUAACGGCCCACCAUGCCGAUAAUCGGUACAGGUUGUGAGAGCAAGAGCCUGGAGACGGUAUCUGAGACAAGAUACCGGGCCCUACGGGGCGCAGCAGGCGCGAAACCUUUACACUGCACGACAGUGCGAUAGGGGGACUCCGAGUGCGAGGGCAUAUAGUCCUCGCUUUUCUGAACCGUAAGGUGGUUCAGGAACAAGUGCUGGGCAAGACCGGUGCCAGCCGCCGCGGUAAUACCGGCAGCACGAGUGAUGGCCGAUAUUAUUGGGCCUAAAGCGUCCGUAGCUUGCUGUGUAAGUCCAUUGGGAAAUCGACGCGCUCAACGCGUCGGCGUCCGGUGGAAACUACACGGCUUGGGGCCGAGAGACUCGACGGGUACGUCCGGGGUAGGAGUGAAAUCCUGUAAUCCUGGACGGACCACCAAUGGGGAAACCACGUCGAGAGACCGGACCCGACAGUGAGGGACGAAAGCCAGGGUCUCGAACCGGAUUAGAUACCCGGGUAGUCCUGGCCGUAAACAAUGCUCGCUAGGUAUGUCACGCGCCAUGAGCACGUGAUGUGCCGUAGUGAAGACGAUAAGCGAGCCGCCUGGGAAGUACGUCCGCAAGGAUGAAACUUAAAGGAAUUG
rnacentral:rRNA from 1 species